AAUUUCUAAAAUUUUUGAUAAAAUUACUUUAUUAUAAAAAAUUAAAAGUUUAGAAAGUCUAUAUACAUUUUCACCAUAAAAAAUUUUGGUAAAGAAAGUGCAGAGAUCCCUAAACUAUUAAAUGCUUUGAAAUAGACAACUCAAAGUUAUUUCUUUAAAUGAUUUUUUAUAAUUUUUUAAUUUCUUGUGAUUAAUUUUUGUUAAUUAAAUAAAAUAUUUAUUAAAAUUUACAUAAAUUAAAAUAUUUAAGUUAGUUGACCCUAUACUAGUUUUAAUCAAUAUAAAGUUGUGAGAAUAAAAUAAAAUAUACUAGCUAAAUAUGUAAAAAUAAACAACACACAUUUGGUCUUCAAAAUAUGAAGCGGGUGAUACUUUGGUUCUCAAACUUUAAUUUAUUAUAAUUUCUGACUCGAACUUUCAGGAUUGUUGAUAUUAAAUUCCACAACUUAAUUUAUUGACUAAAUAUUGACGUAUUAUUGAAAUAAAGAUAAUAUAACAUCUUAAUUUUUAGCGUAUUAUUAAUCACAACGUUGCUAUAUUAUUUUCCACAUUAGCACCAUAUAAAUACUUAGCCAGUUAUUUUUAGUUAUGAAAUUUAAUUACAAUAAUUAAAACAAUUAAAUAAAAAAUUAUAGUAAAUUAAAAUUGAGAGCCAAAAUGUCAUCCUCCUCGUAUCUUAAACUCUGAGCAUUAAAUUUUAAAAGGUAAACUUCAAAUACCACGACUAAGGUUUCGUACUAUCAUGUAGUUUAAAGCGUAUCAAAUUAGUAUCCUCUAGUUUCAUUUUUAUCUUUUCGUUAAUUUUUUUUUAAUAUUUUAUUAAAUUAUAAACAAAAAACUUCAAAUACUCACUUAUGUUUAUCAAAUAUUAACUUUAGUACCCUUUAGUUUUAACUUUGUCACUAAUUUAACGAAAAAAAUUAGUAAAAUCGAUAAUAAAAAAAUAAAAAAAAAGAAAAACUUCAAACCCCGCCCCCCUAGUUUCGUAGUUUCUUACUUUGCCCCUAUGUAAUUUAAAAUGUAUCAAUUCGCCCCCACGUGGUUUCUUUUUUUUCUUUUUCUUAUCAAUUUCAUUACUUUUUUUUCUUAAAUCAGUGAUAAAGUUAAAAUUAAAGAGUACUAAAGUGAAUAUUUGAUAAAUCUAGAUGAGUAUCUGAAAUUUUUUGUAUAUAAUUUAAUGAAAUAUUAAUGAAAAAGCUAUCGAAAAGAUAAAAACGAAAUCAUUAGAGAACAAAUUGAUACAUUUUAAACCACAGGAGGGCAAAAUGAGAAACUACGAAACCACAGCGGGAUUUUUAAAGUUUUUCCAAAAAAAAAUUAUAGAAUACUUAAUUAAUACAGUUUAAAUUUUAAUGAAAAAGUAUGAAACCAUUAGAAUGGUAUUGAAAGUUUUUUCGAUUUUAAAUUUAAUACUUUAAAAUAUUAGAUAAGCAGCGCAUAAAUUUUGUACAUUUUUGACCCGAUUUAUGGCACAGCGAGAUCCCUGUGACAUAACUCUGCCGUCAGAAUGGCAUGUGAUGGACCCCCACAGAAGAUGUGGGUCCCACUUGUCACUCAGAGCACGCUUGUGGGCCCCACGUGUCAGUAGUAUAACACAGAACCGCCGCACAACAAAUGUUUAUGCGGCCCGAGGUUUCGCUUUCUUCAUUUUCGGUGCUCUUCUUCUUCACACUCCCGCUUCCGUGAAUGGGAAAAGAAAGGUCGAGUUUGGUUAGUUUGGUAGAGGGUACACGUCACCUAACGCAGACUCCUCAACCAAUUUGAUUGUAAUUUACAAUUUUACCCUUCAAUCUCUACUUGAAAUUUAAAAUUUUCUCUCCGCUUCAAAGAUUUGAAUUCAAAUUUUCAAAUUUGAAAAAAUAAAAUAAAAAUUUAAAUCCACGAGAUUCACUUUGUUUACUGAUGAGAGUUUCAUUUAAUUUUUGCCCCCCCGGAAAAUUAAAUUUCACGAGGUGGUCCGAUCAAUGUUAAUAAUAAUAAUGUCCUCCACCACUGCGCGGACCCGCAAUUCGAGGUGCGCGAAAUAUCAAAGUCCACGUAAAUAUUCCACCGCACAAUGUCCACUAUGCCGUUGGAUUCUCCUGUUCAUUUAUUAAAUACCGUAUUAACUCAAUUCAAUAAUUUUCGUUUUAAUUAUCAAAUUAAUUAUGCACUGAAUUUGUCCUUGCUCCGGAAAUUGCGAAAGAGGCCAGUCCAUCUCCAUCUCCAUCCCCUCGCGAUUUACUCCCGAAAUUAACUCAUUUUAAUUAAAUAAAAGAUUUAAAUUUUUCCAUUUUAUAUAUGACUCCUUUAAUCUUACUUUAAUAAUUACUUAUUAAUUAUUUAAUAAUUUUCAAUUUAAUUUGUCCACCGUAAGAAACCGAAACUGAGUCCACAACGGCUGUUUCUCCUUUUGCUUGCUUUGAUUGAUUCCACGCCACCGCCAUACCUGUAACACAAACAAAGAAUAAUAAUAAACAACAUAAAAUAAUAAAUAAAUACAAAUAAUAAAAUAAAAUAAAUAUAUAAAAUAAAUAAAUAUAAAUAAAUGGAACGGGUUUACCACGAAGAAAACGCAACGCGUACACGGCGGCGACGGAGUUAACGGAACGGCGAACGGGAGGCAAACGGCAGUUAACGCGACGCCCCACACGAUGACGGAGACGGCGAACGCAACGGCGGAAACACCUCGCACAAAUCCACGAAACAAUCACGGAUCAAUUAAACACAUCCCAAGUCCAGAAUUAAUUAUGAAUUAGUUGUUGAUUAAUUAAUUAAGGAAUUACUGAAUUAAUGAAUUAAUUAAUGAUUUUGAGUUUUUUUUUUUCUUGUGGGGUGUUCCAGAGUCCUCGAGUUCUGAAGAAUCGUCAAAAUCUCCUUCGAUAGCCAUAUCAAACGGCUGUCACAAAAAGAUAUGUACAAUCGGACGGUUCUGAUUCCGUCCUCACAGCCUCCCUCUUCGAUGAUACAAAAAAAAGGGGAAAAAAUGAAUAAAAUCCGAGCGUAGAGUUCUCCGAGAUUCGAUUCGGACGGCGUUGUUGAGGCCGAUGUCGAGAGAAGAUGAAGGAGGAGUAGAGUAGAAGUAUAGAAGAGGGGCUUGGUUUUUGCCUUUUUCUUUUUUGCUUUUUUUCUUUUUUCUACGAACCUGCGUCGUCGAGAUCUAAGGGGAUGAUGGGACGGACGGUGGAGAUCAUAGAUCGGGGUCGCCGGCUUUGGACAUGACGGAGAGGCGGCUCGGGCGGGGUUGGAACGCGGAGCGGCGGCGUUGGUGGUGGGAGGAGGGGCGGAUGAGGGCGGCGAGGGCGAGGGUGGUGGUGUUGGUGGUGGUGGUGGCUAGGUGGAGGGGGCCGGCUAGGAAGAGGCACAGGCUGGUCUAGGGCAGCGCGGCGGGGCAGGGGCCGCCGCCGCCUAGGAGGCCGCCGCGCCGCGGCCCCGCCUCCUGCACGUACACGAGCGGGUGCUGCGUGGGGCCUAGCAAGGCUACGUCGGAGGUGUUCCCGAAGGUGUCGCCGUCGGGGGUGGUGGCGAGGAGAAGGGGGGUGCGGCGCCGCAGGAGAGGGAGCUUGGCGGAGUUGCGCGCGGCAGAGGCGGGACUACGCGAGCGAGCAGGCGUAGCCGUGGCAGCGCCCACUNGGACGGACGGUGGAGAUCAUAGAUCGGGGUCGCCGGCUUUGGACAUGACGGAGAGGCGGCUCGGGCGGGGUUGGAACGCGGAGCGGCGGCGUUGGUGGUGGGAGGAGGGGCGGAUGAGGGCGGCGAGGGCGCGCUUCACGAGGUCACCCUCGACGGUGCCGAUGCGGACGAGCGAGUUCGUCAUGGCGG
rnacentral:lncRNA from 1 species